GGGGGGUGUGGCGAAACCAACCGGACAUCCCAGCCGCUCGGUUAGCGUGACUUGUGUUACAGCCACAUGCUUCUUUACCUGAACUCGACUCUUAACCUCAGGAGACUAGCACCACCUUGGCUCAGACUUGGGAGAAGUAUUCAUAUAUUCUACUUAAGAGCACACUUCAGACAGUGGGCACAGGGCAUCUGGUAUGCAGAUGUCUCUGCUGCCCGAGGCAUGCGAUGACAGCCACUGGCAAUGGCUCAAUGAAGUAACCAAGUACCACAUGCCAUCCUGUUGCCAAGAACAGCAGAUAAGACGGUGCAGAGCCGGGGUUAGACGUGAGGGAUGGUGACCAUGGGAGAAGAGGGUAGUGGUCUCGCUUUGACACAUCAGUUUUCACCCUUUGUGUAAAUUGGAAUAAGGAAAUCUGAGUGUGGAGAGCUGUCAAAAGUGUUUCUCAGUAACGGUGUUACUCUGAAAAUCAGACUUAAUCUUUGUGGAUAUUCGUGAGCUGAAGGAUCCCUGAGCACAUGAUUGUGGGGCGAGGUCACGGCCUGGAAGGGAGAUGCUUUCCUGUCACACCCCGUUCCGCUGUUUGUUUUCCGAGCUUUGCUGACUCACGUCCCCAUGUUACUCUCUCUGUGUGUCUAAGGAAAAUGUAGAGCAUGAACAAUCCGUGUGAAUGAAGAGGGGAGGGAAAGGAACAACGGCAUGGCUUUGGUUUCCCUCAUCUCAGCUUGCCUUUGACCUCUGCCUCCUGAACGUUACAUCAGCAGAACUCAGAGAGCAUCAGGAAGCAAAACACAAUGGCAGGGAAACUGGAAGCACGCCCUGCCACCUUCACUUUAGGCCCCAAACACUUAAUGCUUUGCGAUGCAUUUGGGUCAUCGUGGGAAUUGGUAAACUGGGAUAUAAGACAUUUCUUUGGUUUGAAUUUAAUAAAGGUUUAUUACCUCGUUGACCUGAUUCCACUGACCAAAAACAAGAUGUAUGUGAGGAAAAGUAGCUAAGUGAACUAUGAGGCUCUAAAAUGCAUACUGGUAUUCCACUGUACCAUACGUCAUUAUAUCUUUCAGCAACUCACAAGCACCGUGUGAUCACAUUAUUCCUCAGUAACAUGAUCCAACUGUGAAUAGAGAUAAAAAAAACAUCUACAUUGCUUUUACUUCAAACCGCUGCAGUAUGUUUCGUGAUUGCUGAGAAAACAAGAUAUCUUUUUUAUUGUUUAUAUUUCAAACCAUGUUUUACAUAUUUUUAAAGGCUGCUGAUCAUUUAUAAUGAUUAUAUCUCCCAGCCACAGUCACAUGGACAAUGUAUCCCUUUAAUAAAACACCCUGUAUACA